UAUACAAACAACCCCACAAAAUAAGUUUCUAUAGGACUAAGGUUUUAUGAAAACAAAAUAAAGCUUCAUUUCAAUUCCUCAUCCAAAAAAGCACUUUGAGCAACAUGAAUCUCUAUGAGCGCUUUAAAAUCAAUUUCUAAAUGCGACAACAAAAUUUUAUACUAAAGAAAUGGUACAGAGAUCUUGUGAACACUUAUUUUUGAAGUAAUUUAUUAUAAUAUAUAUUAGUUUUAGAGAUUGAAAUUGAAAUCCUAAUCGUUUUCUGAGCUAAAAAAUGGCGUACUUUAUUCAGGCAAAGAGGAGCUAAUGCCAUCAAUAGAACAAGAGUUUCGUGUCUCAGAGUCUUCAUUCCUCUGCAAGUGUAACUUUGUCUCGUGCCCUUCAAUGGAUGCGUGGUAUGGUUUCAAUGGAUGGGUGGUAUGUUUGGGCUUCCCAAAGUCCAAGCAUUUACUGGAGAUCGAUGAGUUCUCUUGGCUAACGGCUGGAAGGAAUUCUAGGGUUUUCAAGUUUCCAGGUUUCAACCGCUGGAAAGAUGAGGUCAUCGACGCAUUAGUGAACAACAUCAAUUCACAAGCUUCAACUGUGAGGAAAAUAGAGGAAGCGAUUAAUUUAUUACAGGCGAUGUACCAAGAUGGCGUGGAACCCAAUAUUAUUACAUAUAAUUCUCUUCUAAAUGGUUUGUGUAAGGAUGGGAAAAUAGAGGAAGCAAUCAAAUUAUUUGAGCUGAUGUAUCAAGGUUCGAUGGAACCCGAUGUUAUUAUAUAUAAUGCUCUUCUGAAUGGCCUUUGCAGAAAAGGUUUAGUGGAUGAAGGAAGAAAAAGAGCAGGCUUCUACAACAAAAUGAUUUGUUGGUGAUAUGGGUGAUAGUUAUUAUUUGUUGCAUUAUGGAAUCACAUGGCUGAUUAAGAAAAUAAUUUGACCCUUCUUUAGUCAAAAUCAUUUAACACUAGUGUAAAAUUUGCGUGAUUUUAAUUUCGUUGAUCAUAUAAAGCAUUGUACAGAUUGUAUUUUACAGAUUGUAUCCUUUAAGAUAUAGAAAUGAUUGAAAAGGUAAUGAACAUCUCAUAUAAUUCUAUAGCAGCAUCAAAAAAAAAAUCUCACAAUUUUUUUUAUAUAUAUCUUCUAUGUUUAUGACAGCAUAUUGAAAAUAUGACUUAAUGUUGUUGACACCUUUGACUUUACUAAAUAUCAUCACAGGAGAAUUUGUUUACAUAAAUUAAUGAUAAGAAAGACUUGUUAAUUUACUCAAUAAAUGUAAAUAUUUUGAAAAGUGAUUUGAUGAUGGGGGAAAGCAUGGUAAUUGGAAUUGUAGGUUGCUCAUUGGCAAAGUGAAAAUCUAUUCCAGUGUGUUUUAUUUAUUUAUGAAAUUCAUGGUUAAAAAAAUCCAAAUGGAUCUCAGGUCUCAAAUUGUCACACCAAAGAAGCAUCUGUUUAAUUUCACGCCCCUGUCCGGUUGAGGGGCUGGAAUUCUUGCCUCACUAGAAAAUUGAGGAUAUCUGAGCAUCUUGGUUGUGUUGAGGUCGAGCCCAUGCCUUGUGCAAUAUUUAUUGGAAAUUGGGACAUUCCCAGUGUCUUGCUUAUGUGCACCGUGUAGAAACAAUAUCAUGUUUCCUAUUUGAUAGGGGAUUGAUCUUCAUUCUAUUCUUUUUUGAAGGAUCUUGUAUUUUCAUAGAGCAGAUGUUCCUCAAUUUUAGUGGGGAUCAGUCUUGUCAAGUUUCUACACCGAGUUUUAUUGUUGGAGGGUGGAACUGCUCAUUACUUAUUCCUCCAAUCUCAUGCUACGGAGUACGGAUUUCCAUGCCCCUGAGGUAUUGGUUGCCAACCGAACAAGAUGGUAGCCAAGUAGAGGAAUUGAGCCGAUUUUUGUGGUGGAAGACAUCCUGCCAAAGGUGGUUUUCUUGAGUGGCCUGGAGCCACCACCAUUUUCCUAGGGGGUUAUAUUGUUUCUUUUGAGGACAUGGGUUAGGCAAGCGAACUCCCAGGAGAUAAGAUGGUUCUUGCGGCUUUCCCCUUCGCCCGACCAUUGGAAAUUCCUCAUCAGCUAUUUGAGGUGGUUGGAAUAAAGACAUUUGGAAGAUGGGGACAUUGGAGAGGUUUGCUUUGAUUAGGCAAGCAAACUCUGUAUCCCCCAUCAAACUAAGAUACAUGCCUUUGUAGCCUAUUCUGUCGUUUUAAUCAUGAAAUACUUCUUCUUUUUUUAAAAAAAAUUAUCAACAGUAUUUAAUGAAAUAAUGUUUGCCAACCCA